UGAGUCCAAAAGUCCAUUAUACACAUCUGUGUCUCUUUCCCUGUCUUGCAUACAGGGUCGUCAUUGCCAUCUUCCUAAAUUCCAUAUAUAUGUGUUAGUAUACUGUAUUGGUGUUUUUCUUUCUGGCUUACUUCACUCUGUAUAAUCGGCUCCAGUUUCAUCCAUCUCAUCAGAACUGAUUCAAAUGAAUUCUUUUUAACGGCUGAGUAAUACUCCAUUGUGUAUAUGUACCACAGCUUUCUUAUCCAUUCAUCUGCUGAUGGAUAUCUAGGUUGUUUCCAUGUCCUGGCUAUUAUAAACAGUGCUGCGAUGAACAUUGGGGUACAUGUGUCUCUUUCCAUUCUGGUUUCCUCGGUGUGUAUGCCCAGAAGUGGGAUUGCUGGGUCAUAAGGUAGUUCUAUUUGCAAUUUUUAAGGAAUCUCCACACUGUUCUCCAUAGUGGCUGUACUAGUUUGCAUUCCCACCAACAGUGUAGGAAGGUUCCCUUUUCUCCACACCCUCUCCAGCAUUUAUUGCUUGCAGAUUUUUGGAUCGCAGCCAUUCUGACUGGUGUGAAGUGGUACCUCCUUGUGGUUUUGAUUUGCAUUUCUCUGAUAAUGAGUGAUGUUGAGCAUCUUUUCAUGUGUUAGCCAUCCGUAUGUCUUCUUUGGAGAAAUGUCUAUUUAGUUCUUUGGCCCAUUUUUUGAUUGGGUCGUUUAUUUUUCUGGAAUUGAGCUGCAGGAGUUGCUUGUCUAUUUUUGAGAUUAGUUGUUUAUCAGUUGCUUCAUUUGCUAUUAUUUCUCCCAUUCAGAAGGCUGUCUUUUCACCUUGCUUAUAUUUUCCUUUGUUGUGCAGAAGCUUUUAAUUUUAAUUAGAUCCCAUUUGUUUAUUUUUGCUUUUAUUUCCAGAAUUCUGGGAGGUGGAUCAUAGAGGAUCCUGCUGUGAUUUAUGUCGGAGAGUGUUUUGCCUAUGUUCUCCUCUAGGAGUUUUAUAGUUUUUGGU
ensembl:lncRNA